rnacentral:rRNA from 1 species
GACGGAGGGUGCAAGCGUUGUUCGGAAUUACUGGGCGUAAAGGGCGCGUAGGCGGUCUGUUAAGUUCGGUGUGAAAGCCCCCGGCUCACCUGGGGAACUGCGCCGGAAACCGACAGACUCGAGUACCGGAGAGGAGGGUGGAAGUUCCUGGUGUAGCGGUGAAAUGCGUAGAUAUCAGGAGGAACACCGGUGGCGAAGGCGGCUCACUGGCCCGAUACUGACGCUGAUGCACGAAAGCGUGGGGAGCAAACAGG